UACGAAGGGUGCAAGCGUUACUCGGAAUUACUGGGCGUAAAGCGUGCGUAGGUGGUUCGUUAAGUCUGUCGUGAAAGCCCCGGGCUCAACCUGGGAAUGGCGAAUGGAUACUGGCGAGCUAGAGUGCGGUAGAGGAGAGUGGAAUUCCCGGUGUAGCAGUGAAAUGCGUAGAGAUCGGGAGGAACAUCAGUUGCGAAGGCG
rnacentral:rRNA from 1 species